CACCCACCUAGAGGAGCCUGUUCUAUAAUCGAUAACCCCCGCUUAACCUCACCACUUCUUGCCAAUACCGCCUAUAUACCACCGUCGCCAGCCCACCCCGUGAGGGAAAUAGUAGGCACAAUGAUAAGUCACCAAAACGUCAGGUCAAGGUGUAGCGUAUGAAGUGGAAAGAAAUGGGCUACAUUCUCUAACCUAGAGCACACGAAAAAUCAUAUGAAAUUAGAUUAGAAGGAGGAUUUAGUAGUAAAAAGAAACAAUAGUGUUCUUUUUAAGUUGGCCCUGGGGCGCGCACACACCGCCCGUCACCCUCUUCAACUAAUAAAACACGAUUUAUAAAACACAAAACAAACUCAAGAAGAGGUAAGUCGUAACAUGGUAAGUAUACCGGAAGGUGUGCUUGGAAUUA
rnacentral:rRNA from 1 species